rnacentral:Y_RNA from 1 species
GGUUGGUCCGAGUGCAGUGGUGUUUACAACUUUGAUCACAACCACUUACAGAUUCCUUUGUUCCUUCUCCACUCCCACUGCUCCACUUGACCAGCCUAAA